rnacentral:tRNA from 1 species
AAAGGGGGCAGACUGUAAAUCUGUUGUCUGGUGACUUCGAUGGUUCGAAUCCAUCUCCCUCCACCA